rnacentral:pre_miRNA from 1 species
CCUGAACCUGGCAUACAAUGUAGAUUUCUGUGUGCUUGGAUUCUACAGCUACAUUGUCUGCUGGGUUUC